UACGUAGGUGGCAAGCGUUGUCCGGAUUUACUGGGCGUAAAGAGCGCGCAGGCGGUCGUUCAAGUCGCGUGUGAAAGCCCCCGGCUCAACUGGGGAGGGUCACGCGAUACUGAUCGACUGGAAGGCAGGAGAGGGUAGUGGAAUUCCCGGUGUAGUGGUGAAAUGCGUAGAGAUGUGGAGGAACACCGAUGGCGAAGGCAGCCCCCUGGGUCAAGAUUGACGCUCAUGCACGAAAGCGUGGGGAGCAAACAGG
rnacentral:rRNA from 1 species